AUAAACCCUCAACUUAUAAACCGUUAACAUAUGUCACCCUCCGUCACGGUUUUUUAGACGGAGGGUAACAUAUGUUAACGGAACUAAAGUUGAGGGUUUAUUUCACAAGAUUUUUAGUUGAGGGUUUUUUUUACGAUUCAUCUUUAGUUGAAGGGUUUAAUUACUAAAAACCCUUAUAAAUAUGAUAUUCUUAUACAUGGAAAACAUGUUCUUCUUAAAAGAUGAGCGAAGCGUAUGCAAUGCAUACAAUGUGUCUGCCGUGUCCCUUAAUCCGUCUAUUCAAGAGGUAGAAGCUUUUGCCAAAUUGUUACCAAAGGAAAAUAUAUCUUUGGCAACUGUGCAGUCUAAACCACUUUCGAUGGUGUCAAUGAUGUCAGAAGUUAACGGAAAAUACCGUAUAUAUCACAUGAGUGUUCUAGAGUGAGCCCAACCGAAAGCCCAUAUAAGUAUUUCUAUUAUCUCUACUUCCCUUCCGAUCGAGAAGGAAGAUUGCAGAGCUCAAUUUCAAAUGGGGUCGAUUCUGGGAGAUUUUCCGUCCUUCGAUCCUCACAAUUUCAGUCAACAUCGUCCCUCUGACCCUUCUAAUCCCUCUGUAAAUCCUUCCCUGAUUUUGGCUUUUAAUCAUUUUGAAUUUGUCUAAAAUCGGAUAUGAGAAUAAUAUGAAUUGAGACUUGGUUUGUUCAUUGAGAUAUUGGAAGAAUGUUAUUGGGAGGAGGGGGCGAUGAAAAUUGAUAGACAUAUAUAUAUUAUUGAGCUACACCUAUGUUAUACAUAAUCAUAAUAUAUACAAUCAACAUAUUUUUAGAUAUCUAAUCCCGCACAAAGUGCGGGUUACUACCUGAUUUCAAGAUUAAUUUACAAGUCAUUUUACUUCUGGUUUUUCUUGUAAACUGCCAUCAAUGCCAAGGCAUAUAAGUUAGAUUAGAUUUAUAUGGAAAGAACAGAAAGGGAAGGUAUGAGAAAUUAAGUAUCUAAGUAAUGGUGCGGUGUACGAAUGGUCCAAUGUAGCACAUGGCAAUUUGCAUCUUGUACAUACGAAUGCAUAUCUCUGCAUGUGUGUAAAUAAUAUUGUCUUCAAUUAUUUGAUCGUGGUUUGGUAUGCCUAGACCCUAGAUGAUCGUGUUAGUUAUAGCCUAUCUUUGCAAACUUGUACGAUUCAUAUCACAAGAAAAAAGAAACAGAUCUCUGUAAUCAAUUCGUAUAACUUUUGGCCGACUAAACCGGUCUCUACACCGCACUUUGUGCCUUUGGGAUCUUUUAUUUUGCCCAAUAUAUACCAUUACCUCAUAAGUAUGAGAGCAGUUUAUGUUUUUUUUAAUCCAUUUCAGCUAGGAGAUGCUUAUUCUGCAAUAAUUAAAGUCAAACGAUUUCAGGCAAGAUCAGAUCUUUUGGCUCUCGCAUAGUGAACUACUGUAAUCUGUAUUUGACACAGUUUUCGUUAGAUAUUUAUUUUUAACACAGCUAUGUAAACACAUGGUGUGGAUAGGUCUUAGAAGUAGAUGGAUCGUGUCCACUUGUUUCACGAACUUCCCUAUCCAAUUUACCCCACAAGGAUUUAGCGAAUCUGCCCCCUUCCAUCUAUCUUCUAUUCACGUUUCGAAAGCAAACAAAAUGAAAUCAAAAUGACGAAAGUGUCCAUACAUAUUCCCGCCGAAAUGUUGGAAGAAGAAAAUAAUAAAUCGUGAUUGGAUGACAUGGAGCAAUCCAACAUAUCAUGACUUGUAUUUUGUGGAGUUAUCUGUGUGUGUUUUCCGAAAUGAAUUACAUUAAAAUAUGUAAUUCAAACAUUUCUAUAUAUAUAUAUAUAUAUAUAUAUAUUUUUUUUUUUUUAAAUUAGCUAAAGCUUUACGACGACAAUAAAGUUUAUGUUAUAUCUCGUUGAUUCUUCGUUGUUACAAUGACAUUUUGCUCAUUAUUUCCCAUGUUUGUAACUGGAUUGGCUAGUCAAUAAUAUAUUGACUGUUUUCUAAGAAUAGCUAAUAAGGAUAAGUUUAAAAAAAAACAAGAAAUCAAGAAGAAAAUAUAACGUAGAAGCAUGCAUAAUUCACAUUCGUCUAAAAAGCCUUCAAGGAAAAUUACAACUCCAACAACAAACCCAAAUACAAACAUACAUCAACGGACAAGGAUUCAUCUAAAAAGAAGAUCCAACGGCCACAUAGAAAUUCAAUUACGAUGCGAAAUAAAAACAAAUCAUAUUACAACAGUAAUUUUCAGCGUCUUCAGUAAUCAGUGGUGGGCAAUUGCUCGUGACCGUUUUCGAUGAU